AAUGAACGCUGGCGGCAUGCCUAACACAUGCAAGUCGAACGAAGGCUUCGGCCUUAGUGGCGCACGGGUGCGUAACGCGUGGGAAUCUGCCCUCAGGUUCGGAAUAACAGCGAGAAAUUGCUGCUAAUACCGGAUGAUAUCGCGAGAUCAAAGAUUUAUCGCCUGAGGAUGAGCCCGCGUAGGAUUAGCUAGUUGGUGUGGUAAAGGCGCACCAAGGCGACGAUCCUUAGCUAGUCUGAGAGGAUGAUCAGCCACACUGGGACUGAGACACGGCCCAGACUCCUACGGGAGGCAGCAGUGGGGAAUAUUGACAAUGGGCGAAAGCCUGAUCCAGCAAUGCCGCGUGAGUGAUGAAGGCCUUAGGGUUGUAAAGCUCUUUUACCCGGGAUGAUAAUGACAGUACCGGGAGAAUAAGCUCCGGCUAACUCCGUGCCAGCCGCCGCGGUAA
rnacentral:rRNA from 1 species